GUGACUGCGUACCUUUUGUAUAAUGGGUCAGCGACUUAUAUUCUGUAGCAAGGUUAACCGUAUAGGGGAGCCGAAGGGAAACCGAGUCUUAACUGGGCGUUAAGUUGCAGGGUAUAGACCCGAAACCCGGUGAUCUAGCCAUGGGCAGGUUGAAGGUUGGGUAACACUAACUGGAGGACCGAACCGACUAAUGUUGAAAAAUUAGCGGAUGACUUGUGGCUGGGGGUGAAAGGCCAAUCAAACCGGGAGAUAGCUGGUUCUCCCCGAAAGCUAUUUAGGUAGCGCCUCGUGAACUCAUCUUCGGGGGUAGAGCACUGUUUCGGCUAGGGGGUCAUCCCGACUUACCAACCCGAUGCAAACUGCGAAUACCGAAGAAUGUUAUCACGGGAGACACACGGCGGGUGCUAACGUCCGUCGUGAAGAGGGAAACAACCCAGACCGCCAGCUAAGGUCCCAAAGUCAUGGUUAAGUGGGAAACGAUGUGGGAAGGCACAGACAGCCAGGAUGUUGGCUUAGAAGCAGCCAUCAUUUAAAGAAAGCGUAAUAGCUCACUGGUCGAGUCGGCCUGCGCGGAAGAUGUAACGGGGCUAAACCAUGCACCGAAGCUGCGGCAGCGACACUAUGUGUUGUUGGGUAGGGGAGCGUUCUGUAAGCCGUUGAAGGUGUCCUGUGAGGGAUGCUGGAGGUAUCAGAAGUGCGAAUGCUGACAUAAGUAACGAUAAUGCGGGUGAAAAACCCGCACGCCGGAAGACCAAGGGUUCCUGUCCAACGUUAAUCGGGGCAGGGUGAGUCGACCCCUAAGGCGAGGCCGAAAGGCGUAGUCGAUGGGAAACAGGUUAAUAUUCCUGUACUUGGUGUUACUGCGAAGGGGGGACGGAGAAGGCUAUGUUGGCCGGGCGACGGUUGUCCCGGUUUAAGCGUGUAGGUGUGUGUUCCAGGUAAAUCCGGUUCACUUUAACACUGAGGCGUGAUGACGAGGUACUACGGUGCUGAAGUGACAAAUGCCCUGCUUCCAGGAAAAGCCUCUAAGCAUCAGGUAACACGAAAUCGUACCCCAAACCGACACAGGUGGUCAGGUAGAGAAUACCAAGGCGCUUGAGAGAACUCGGGUGAAGGAACUAGGCAAAAUGGUGCCGUAACUUCGGGAGAAGGCACGCUGAUAUGUAGGUGAAGUGAUUUACUCAGGGAGAAGGCACGCUGAUAUGUAGGUGAAGCGGUUUACCCGUGGAGCUGAAAUCAGUCGAAGAUACCAGCUGGCUGCAACUGUUUAUUAAAAACACAGCACUGUGCAAACACGAAAGUGGACGUAUACGGUGUGACGCCUGCCCGGUGCCGGAAGGUUAAUUGAUGGGGUUAUCCGUAAGGAGAAGCUCUUGAUCGAAGCCCCGGUAAACGGCGGCCGUAACUAUAACGGUCCUAAGGUAGCGAAAUUCCUUGUCGGGUAAGUUCCGACCUGCACGAAUGGCGUAAUGAUGGCCAGGCUGUCUCCACCCGAGACUCAGUGAAAUUGAACUCGCUGUGAAGAUGCAGUGUACCCGCGGCAAGACGGAAAGACCCCGUGAACCUUUACUAUAGCUUGACACUGAACACUGGUCCUUGAUGUGUAGGAUAGGUGGGAGGCUUUGAAGUGUGGACGCCAGUCUGCAUGGAGCCAUCCUUGAAAUACCACCCUUUAAUGGCUGG
rnacentral:rRNA from 1 species